AACGAACGCUGGCGGCAGGCUUAACACAUGCAAGUCGAACGCCCCGCAAGGGGAGUGGCAGACGGGUGAGUAACGCGUGGGAACGUACCUUUCAGUUCGGAAUAACUCAGGGAAACUUGUGCUAAUACCGGAUACGCCCGCAAGGGGAAAGAUUUAUCGCUGAAAGAUCGGCCCGCGUUGGAUUAGCUAGUUGGUGGGGUAAAGGCCUACCAAGGCGACGAUCCAUAGCUGGUCUGAGAGGAUGAUCAGCCACACUGGGACUGAGACACGGCCCAGACUCCUACGGGAGGCAGCAGUGGGGAAUAUUGGACAAUGGGCGCAAGCCUGAUCCAGCCAUGCCGCGUGUGUGAUGAAGGCCUUAGGGUUGUAAAGCACUUUCACCGAUGAAGAUAAUGACGGUAGUCGGAGAAGAAGCCCCGGCUAACUUCGUGCCAGCAGCCGCGGUAAUGUCUGUACU
rnacentral:rRNA from 1 species